UCAAGAAACUUCCACAAUGGGCGAAAGCCUGAUGGAGCGACGUCGCGUGAUGGACGAAGUGCUUCGGCACGUAAACAUCUUUUAUGUGGGAUGAAAUUAUUGACAGUACCACAUGAAUAAGGGGCUCCUAACUCUGUGCCAGCAGGAGCGGUAAUACAGAGGCCCCAAGCGUUAUCCGGAAUCACUGGGCGUAAAGGGUGUCGAGGCGGUUGUAUUAGUCGUUCGUAAAAUCUACGAGCUUAACUUGUAGGCGGCGAACGAAACGGUACGACUUGAGGUUUGGAGAGGUGCGUGGAACUCACGGUGUAGGGGUGAAAUCCGUUGAUAUCGUGGGGAACACCAAAGGCGAAGGCAGCGCACUGGCCAAAAUCUGACGCUCACACACGAAAGCUAGGGUAGCGAAGAGGAUUAGAUACCCCAGUCCCUGAGCGGGCUGGCAAGGCGCAU
rnacentral:rRNA from 1 species